GAGUUUGAUCCUGGCUCAGAUUGAACGCUGGCGGCAGGCCUAACACAUGCAAGUCGAGCGGAUGACGGGAGCUUGCUCCUUGAUUCAGCGGCGGACGGGUGAGUAAUGCCUAGGAAUCUGCCUGGUAGUGGGGGACAACGUUUCGAAAGGAACGCUAAUACCGCAUACGUCCUACGGGAGAAAGCAGGGGACCUUCGGGCCUUGCGCUAUCAGAUGAGCCUAGGUCGGAUUAGCUAGUUGGUGGGGUAAUGGCUCACCAAGGCGACGAUCCGUAACUGGUCUGAGAGGAUGAUCAGUCACACUGGAACUGAGACACGGUCCAGACUCCUACGGGAGGCAGCAGUGGGGAAUAUUGGACAAUGGGCGAAAGCCUGAUCCAGCCAUGCCGCGUGUGUGAAGAAGGUCUUCGGAUU
rnacentral:rRNA from 2 species